AUUGAACGCUGGCGGCAUGCCUUACACAUGCAAGUCGAACGGUAACAGGUUAAGCUGACGAGUGGCGAACGGGUGAGUAAUGCAUAUGAACGUGUCCAGUCGUGGGGGAUAACUACUCGAAAGAGUGGCUAAUACCGCAUACGACCUGAGGGUGAAAGCGGGGGACCGUAAGGCCUCGCGCGAUUGGACUGGCCGAUAUUAGAUUAGCUAGUUGGUGGGGUAAAAGCCCACCAAGGCGACGAUCUGUAGCUGGUCUGAGAGGACGACCAGCCACACUGGGACUGAGACACGGCCCAGACUCCUACGGGAGGCAGCAGUGGGGAAUUUUGGACAAUGGACGCAAGUCUGAUCCAGCCAUGCCGCGUGCGGGAAGAAGGCCUUCGGGUUGUAAACCGCUUUUGUCAGAGAAGAAACGAGUUUCUCUAAUACAGAGACUUAAUGACGGUACCUGAAGAAUAAGCACCGGCUAACUACGUGCCAGCCGCCGCAGUAAUAC
rnacentral:rRNA from 1 species